rnacentral:lncRNA from 1 species
CCUAAACGACCCUGUACUACUAGCAGCAACUCCGCUCUGUUGGGGCUGACCCCCCUGAUACCACUGAGAUCCGCUAGCUGGCAUAGACGGAUAUGAAGUAUAACCUCCUUGAUCCUGAGAAUAUCCACUCUGAAAAUAAGGAUCCUGGGAAUAGUGAUACUGUCCCGGAGCAUAAGGAGCAGCAUCACCCUGAUAGUGAUAAGCACCACCACGACCACCCUGGCCAUAACUGCCUGAAUUAAAGUUCUGUUGAGUCGGUGCUGGUGUUGGCCUAACAGGCUGUUGGGGCCUCUGCUGAUUCUGGGGACAAUACAUAGCUCUAUGUCCUGUCUGACCACAU